GGGCCGUUUAUAUUUCGUUGUCAGAGGUGAAAUUCUUGGAUUUACGAAAGAUAAACUUCUGCGAAAGCAUUCGGCAAGGAUGUUUUCAUUGAUCAAGAACGAAAGUUAGGGGAUCGAAGACGAUCAGAUACCGUCGUAGUCUUAACCAUAAACUAUGCCGACCAGGGAUAUGAGUUGUUAUGAAUAUAGAAAUAUAUUCAAUUUCUUCUUAUGAACCUUGUGAGAAAUCAUAAGUUUUUGGGUUCUGGGGGGAGUAUGGUCGCAAGGCUGAAACUUAAAGGAAUUGACGGAGGGGCACCACCAGGAGUGGAGCGUGCGGCUUAAUUUGACUCAACACGGGAAAACUUACCAGGUCCAGACAUUAGAAGGAUUGACAGAUUGAUAGCUCUUUCAUGAUUUAAUGGGUGGUGGUGCAUGGCCGUUCUUAGUUGGUGGAG
rnacentral:rRNA from 1 species